ensembl:lncRNA
CAACUCCGCCCCCCUCUUUCUCCCCACGUCGGUCGCUCCUCCAUCCCGACAUCUCCUUUCUCCCUGCAGAGGAACAGUUCGCCGCGUAGCAGCCGCUGGGGCGCUGGGAGCGGCGGGAAGGCUGGAAGAAGGCAGGCGCAGAGGCCCGGAGAGGCGGGAGCCAGGUCGCGGCCCCGCAGCUGCUCCGGUCUCACUCCGGGCAUUCUCGGUGGCAGCGCCCGGGCCUGGCCGCCGGCGCCGCGGGUGGGAGGACGGCGCCUGGAGCGGAGCCCGGAGGCGCGAAGAGGAGGAGCGGGUCUCAGCCCUGGGAGCGGGAACAGCGCAGACAAGCCGGGGAACCUCGGGGGCGGUGAGCGAGGGCUGGACAGCUCAGGUCACCGCGGGACCCCACUAGGGGACUACGGGGAACCGACCUCACCCGCGGAGCGCUGAGAAUAACCCAGUGGGCAUUCAAACUGGCGAGUCCGGCUGCGUUCCUGCGGCCCGCGCCCAGCCGAGCCCUGAUUGGCGUUCACCCAGCCAAUCAUAGCCUCAGGGCCUGAGGUGGGUGGGGCCGGAGCGGGCCGGGCGCGCCCGCGGAGGCGGACCCCGAGGACCCUGUCUUCUGGGUGCGCCAGAAACGGAGGGGGGCCGGUUGGCGCGUCCCGCUUCUCCGCGCCUCUUUGGAAGGCCACACCCGGGCCUGGAGACCUGGACAGAAGCGGACACUGCGACUCAAAACCCCAGGCUCAAUGGGAGAUGCCUACCGUGCAAAGUCCCGGAGCGCUGGCCUGGAGGAAGAGGGCGUCCCGCGCCUGUGCAAAUACCUGGAGAACGCGCGGGAGACGAUGCUGCUGCAGGCUUUCCCAGACUUUUCACCAGUGAUUCAAUGGGAGGAAACCAGGUCCCAGACUUGAUUAAAAACAAACAAAAAAACCCUAGGUGAGUGUGUAUGUAUGUGUAAAUGGUGCUACGCAAUGGUGUGAUUGGAUAGUCAAGGGGAUAACUACCUUGUGUGUAUAUGAGGAGCAAAUUUGGAAUCAAAGAAACUUGGUGUUGUCCCAAGACUAGAGUUCAUGGGAGGAAAAUCUGCAGGGCAGACUUCUAAGAGUGCAUUGUCUAAUGCCAGGCACUUCCGCCUCCUUUCUUCCAUUGUUUCCAGGUUCUACUUUGGGCUGGCAUUUAAAUUUUUAUACUAUUUCAAGUAUAAGGCCAAUGGUUUACUCUGGGAGCUUGCAGCCCCCUCUUCCACCCUGGCCUAACACAGGUCAUUCUCUCUUCACGGGUAUCGAAAGAGGGUAACAGCCUCGUCUUCAAGUAAAUAAAGGGAGGGAUUCAAAUUAUAAGGCAAAGGAAAAAUUGGUUCUUUGCUGUGGGGAAAAGUUGCUGAAAAUUAAAGAACAAUCUCCUGAGCUGAAGGGAGCUUUGGGUUUGGUAAUUUGGGGUGUGGGGCAGGCCUUCCAGAAUGCCAAGGGCGUCAAGACUAGUGUGUCUCUCCCUUAGUGUUUCCUUCCUCCAUUUGAGAGAGCUUUCUGGCAUAGAACAAAAAAAGGUUCACCCCUUCUUGUCUCUGCUGACACCUAGAUUCUUCUCAGCUGUAUGUCCGUGUUCCUAUUAGGGUAACACAGGAUGGAGGAAGAAUAGCUCAGUGGUCUUCCCUUCACAUCUCCCCUAAAAGCAUUGUGAAAUAUCAUGUGCCCCCUCCCACAGGCUUAGGUUGACCUGAAAUUCUCAGCGUGUGUUCAAAGAAUUGCAAAGAAUGUAAUUUACAACAUAUUAUAUAUAUAUAUCUAUAAACACGUUUAAAUAAAACUGUUAAUCACAUGUCCAAUGGAAUCUAAAUACCAUAACAUUUUGACACCCAUCGUUAAUUUUUUAAAUGCACAAUCUCUUUCUUAACAGUUGGAAAUUUUACACUGUUCCUUUUUUUUCCUUUGAAUUCAUAUUUUCAUUUUAUUCUCCCUAUAGAAUUUUUUUUUUUUGAAUUCUCAAGCCUGGCUGCAUCCUCAUGUAAUAUAUUCUUGUUCUUGGACUUCUUUUCUUGAUCCAUCUUUUGCAACAAAAUAUGUUCUUAAAGUGAAUUUUUUAUUCCUUGUUCUAAGUGUUUAAAAAGUCAUCUGGAUUAAGAUAAUAUUACAAUUAUUAGAGAUACACAGUUGAUCAAACAAU